rnacentral:tRNA from 1 species
GGUAAUGGAUGGCACAUCGGAAUAAGUGUUGUGUUUUUUUGGCAGCCAUAAUACCAGCGAUUUGAGCAGUGUUCAAUACAUUGCCUUUGGUA